rnacentral:rRNA from 1 species
UACGGGAGGCAGCAGUGGGGAAUAUUGCACAAUGGGGGAAACCCUGAUGCAGCCAUGCCGCGUGUGUGAAGUAAGGCCUUCGGGUUGUAAAGCACUUUCAGUAGGGAGGAAGGUAGUGUAGUUAACACCUGCAUUAUUUGACGUUACCUACAGAAGAAGCACCGGCUAACUCCGUGCCAGCAGCCGCGGUAAUACGGAGGGUGCGAGCGUUAAUCGGAAUUACUGGGCGUAAAGCGCAUGCAGGCGGCCUGUUAAGUCAGAUGUGAAAGCCCGGGGCUUAACCUCGGAAUUGCAUUUGAAACUGGCAGGCUAGAGUCUUGUAGAGGGGGUAGAAUUUCAGGUGUAGCGGUGAAAAUGCGUAGAGAUCUGAAGGAAUACCAGUGGCGAAGGCGGCCCCCUGGACAAAGACUGACGCUCAGAUGCGAAAGCGUGGGGAGCAAACAGGAUUAGAUACCCUGGUAG